GCAGUCACAGCCACAGUCCUCCCGAGAAAGGCGGAUGGCCCGCAGUUCGUGCUUCUCGUCAACGUCGAUCUUCUUCACCCCCGAGGCGCGCAGCAGAGCUCUCCGCUUUUUUGUGGGCAGGGGUUGUAGGAAGAAGUAUUCGUCCACUUCGGUGUUGUCCAGAUCAAUAUCGUCAUCGGAAAUGUCAUCCACGGUCAGGGUGCUAGCUUCCUCAGACUCUACAGUGCCAUUCUUAGUCAUCUAGGAACACAAGGAAGCAAACAGGGAUGUCAUUUGGGCAGAGUCCAAAAUCCCCACUUCAGCAUUGCUGAGGAUGAGCUGUCACGCAUCGAGUCCCCGGGACGGCAGAAGUCAGAGGAAGGAGAAACAAUGGUGUCGAUGUAGAUGGCUUUUUAAAUGCUCUGGCCACAGAAGAUGCUUACAUGCAUCCCUUAACCUCUCAACGUCGGUAACUACAGAUACAGCCGGGGCGACCCACAGGAUAACCAGACCAAAGGUUACAGACACCCAAAAGCUGUCUUUACACUCAGCUCACAGUGACAUCUCUGAUGUCAGAGGCAAUGUGCCCUGGAUCAGAGGUGACUGAAUCUCAGUGGGAGCCAUGACCACCUUACUCAGCAAACAUCACGUCCUUGAAAUAAUAUGUGUGUCUUUCAGGCCCCUGAAAAGCACACCUACGGGACUUAAAGCCGAACUGUGCUGCUGGGAUGGUAAGCACAGUUCUUCUUACCCGGAACAAUGCAAGGAGGAGGGCAUGAUAGAAGCAAUCGGUCAGGUCAGCAUGCUCUCAGUGAGACAAGGACAUAGAUUAAUGCUGGCAAGGACUCAUCAACCCACGGCGGAGACAAACUGUAUUCUCAAAGGAGUGCAUGCAGACCUCAGUGCAAAGGCUUGCUUUCUGUGUAACAGCUCAUGGGGACACUCGCUCCUUGCCUACUCGUGAUGGCUGGGCCUAUAUAUAUUUCCUUUCCAUAUUAAUCUCAUCCAUCAGUAAGCCCUAAAUGUAGAUUUCACUUGUUAUAAGUAUAAAAACACCUAUUGUUUCCUUCAUACAAACCAUCUUGAGUUUUCCCUGAACAUGAGCAAAAUAUUUUUGUGAGGAGCAGCUUAGUAAUAAAGGCAAAACACUUCAUAAGAAGUAAAUCAAGGAUGUUCUAAAUAUAGAAGGCAGUUUAAUUAUUUAAUUUAUUACCCUCUAAAUUUCAUUAAUUAUGGCUAUUACUGUGCUUGGUGAACUUGACAAUUCAUCCAUUAAGUAGUGAAAAUACUCUAGAGAUCAGAUAUCCUUUCAUCUUUGUAGGAAAGAGUCCAUAUUUAGAUAGAAAUAUUUACUAUUUAGAUUGUCCAACUCUGAAUGUCCUGCAGAGAAAAAAUAAAAUUAGACUUUUACUUUCACGUAGGGAAAUUUCCACAGAAGAAAGAACCAGGAAUAAGUGCAUACUAAGAUAUAAUGCGACGAGGCCCUGUGAUAUAUUUUCUAAAGCUACUUAGUUAUGUUUUGUGACUAUUUUAGAACUUGAGCCUGUUAUCUCAGAAAAUAUUUAUUAUUAGACAUUGUUUCUUAGUAUAAUAAUUCUAUAUUUCCCCGUUGGCAUUUGCAUGAAAUUGUACAUAUGAGGAUAUGUAUGUGUACAUAUGCAUGUAUGUACACGUGUGUGUGAGGGGUUGAUGCUGGGUUAUCUUAGUCUACCAUUCUUUGUCUUAGUUUUUUUUUGGGGGGGGGGUCUCUCUCUGAACCUGGAGUUUCCUGUUCAGGUAUACUGACUGAUUAACAUGCCCCCAGGAUUUGUCUGUCUCAAAUUCCCCUGUCUCUACUUGCUAUACUCAGCUCUUUUUGUGGGAGAUGGAUUUAAACUCAAGUCCUUACACACAAGUACUUUCCGACUGGGCCUUCUGACCAACCUGGCAUCCUUUAUAUAUGUACUGCUUAAACGGGGAUGUCCAAUAUCAGGAAGUUACUUUGGUUGUGGUUAGCAUUUCUACUGAUUCUCUCUUACUAACACUCCACAUGUUUCCAGCUAUAAGGAUUUGAUUUUCUAAGACAUUCAAAUGCAAAACCAUCUAGCAUCCUAGAUUCUCACUGACUGAAGCUUCUUGACAAUCACUUCCCUCAGUAGCACCAAGGUCUCUUUAGCUAAUCCCUGGCUGGUCUAUGUGAUUUGCAGCAAGCGUCUUACUCUAGUACGUGGAGAUGUUCAUUCCAGUACAUUCUUCUCAUGCUAUUUAUAUGACAUUACAUUUCACUACACACUAUACUCUAAUGAUGUCACUUUCAUACACUGUCACAACAAAAUCUAUAGCUUAGAUGACAAGUCACAGAUUUCUCCCCCAAAAGAGGAGGAAGCAGCUAUCAUAAGAAAAUCAAAAAUCUUAAAGCAAGAUGAAGUGAGGCCAAGGUUGGGAGCAUGGGCCUGAAAUUGCAGCACUCAACAGCUGAAAGACAAAGACGGUGAAUUUGAAGUCAGCCUGGGUAAUGCUGUGAAACAGUUUUUACCACAAAGGAAUAAGAAGUGAGAUUUUAGCAAGCAUUUACAACUAUAGUAAAGUUGUUAGGGUAACAUAAUCAAUUGGCACCUAACAAUUAAGAAAAUAUUUAAAUAUUGGUACGUCUGACUUUAGAUUAAGUAUAUUCUGGUUAUAAAUGUUAGAAAUAAAUUCCAGAUCUUGUAUAAUUCAUAUUCCUCCAUUACAAAUAAUUUCAUUUCAAAAUAAAAGACUAAGAAUC
rnacentral:lncRNA from 1 species